rfam:Asian citrus Psyllid, Diaphorina citri - Florida Strain, whole genome shotgun sequence.
GCUAGCGGCGAUAGCACGUUCAAUACACUCUUCCCGAUGGAUCACUGAAGUUAAGGAACGUUGCGCGUGGUUCGUAUCGGGAUGGGUGACCAUCUGGGCAAUCGCGUCCUCUUGGCU